CCAAUCCCAAAAUUUUCCGCUGAUGCCCACCAUUUCUCUAUUCCCGCGAGCCUCUCGGCGCGUUUUCUCUCCCCAAUCGCGCCAUUUUUCUGCAGCGGCGCUUCUUCAUCCUGCUAAUCCAGCCGCCGCCUCCCCUCGAUCGCACCUUCCAGGGCAUGUUGGGCUAGCAGCGCGGCAGCGCCAUCUCCCAUCUGUCUACUGCGCCCCUCCGUACCUCCAUCCAGAUUGCAGGAUCUUCGGCGUCGACGAAGCAGGCACCCGCCCGUCCAGCGUCGGAUCCAUUCUGUCUUUGCGGCGGCUCCCCUCCGACCAGUAACGAGCCCUCUGGAUUGCCUCCCCCGACGACUCCGGCGCCGGAUCCAUUAUGUCUUUGCUUCGAUUUGCAUCCUGCUGCUAGAUGCUGAACUUCCGUGGUUUCAAACUGCUCUUGGUCGUCACGGGCCUCGCACUUGCGCCCUUGGCUGCUUCGACGGGGUUGCGUAGCUGCUACGUCCUACCUAUGCCGGAGCUCACGACAUCUGCAGGAUUACGAUGGAGCUAGGGCUGAGGAGGCGUGAUCUGUUUGGUCAAGGUAUGAGGCGGCGAUGGAGUUGUUUUGGGAAAACAUACAGGCAGUUUUUAUUAAAUCUUCCGUGAGAUAAAUAAAAAACCAGGGCCCACCUCAUGAUGAUGUGUCACCAUUUAAAUUUGUUUUGGGAGAGUACUUUUGGGAACUGUUGGGAGAUGUGUUUUUUUUCACUCCCAAUAAUUUUUGGCAAGGUCCAAUAACUAGAAUUUUUGGACU